AGAGAGAGACAUGCGCGCAUAUCAAUAAGCGGAGGAAAAGAAACUAACAAGGAUUCCCCUAGUAACGGCGAGUGAAGCGGGAAGAGCUCAAAUUUGAAAUCUUAAAGGGUUUCCCUUUACGAAUUGUAGUUUAAAGAAGUGUUUUCUGUUGAGGUUUUGGUAAAAGUUCUUUGGAAUAGGACAUCAUAGAGGGUGAGAAUCCCGUAUUUGACCUUUACUUUCAACUUUGUGAUACACUUUCAAAGAGUCGGAUUGUUUGGGAAUGCAGUCCAAAAUGGGUGGUAAAUUUCAUCUAAAGCUAAAUAUUGGCGAGAGACCGAUAGCGAACAAGUACCGUGAGGGAAAGAUGAAAAGAACUUUGAAAGGAGAGUUAAACAGUACGUGAAAUUGUCAAAAGGGAAGCGUUUGACACCAGUGUUGUUUUUCUGAAAAUCAAUUAAAGAACUGUUUAUGCUAAGCUGUUUAGACUUUAUCAGCUAUCUGUUUAGUUUUGAGCUUUUCUUUAAUGCACUUUUCAGUUAACAAGUCAACAUCAAUUUCUUUUGCUGUAAAAAAGCUUGAGGAAGGUGGCUUGAGAUUCGUCUUAAGUGUUUAUAGCCUCUUGCCUAUGCAGUCGGAGAGAUUGAGGUCUGUCAGCGUAGAUCCUUCGGGGUUAAAUAGCAUUUGUGCUAAGUUAUAGCCUUUCAUAGACAACUUGUUGACUAUGAUCAGUCAUGUAGCUUACUCGCUUAUGCUAUUUUACCUACGCUUAGGAUGUUGAUGUGAUACUGCGAGCA
rnacentral:rRNA from 1 species